rnacentral:rRNA from 1 species
AGCAGCCGCGGUAAUUCCAGCUCCAAUAGCGUAUAUUAAAGUUGUUGCAGUUAAAAAGCUCGUAGUUGAAUUUCGGGAUCGAAUUGUUGGUCGUGCUUCGGUACGUACUGGCAUUAUUGGUUCCUACCUUCUGAAGAACCGCGAUGUCAUUAAUUUGGUGUCGUGGGGAAUCAGGACUGUUACUUUGAAAAAAUUAGAGUGUUUAAAGCAGGCUUACGCUUGAAUACAUUAGCAUGGAAUAAUGAAAUAGGACGUUUGAUUCUAUUUUGUUGGUUUCUAGGAUCAACGUAAUGAUUAAUAGGGAUAGUUGGGGGCAUUAGUAUUCAAUUGUCAGAGGUGAAAUUCUUGGAUUUAUUGAAGACUAACUACUGCGAAAGCAUUUGCCAAGGAUGUUUUCAUUAAUCAAGAACGAAAGUUAGGGGAUCGAAGACGAUCAGAUACCGUCGUAGUCUUAACCAUAAACUAUGCCGACUAGGGAUCGGAUGAUGUAAUUUUUUAAUGACUCAUUCGGCGCCUUACG